rnacentral:rRNA from 1 species
GCCGCGGUAAGGCGGAGGAGGCUAGCGUUGUUCGGAAUUACUGGGCGUAAAGCGUGCGUAGGCGGCCCUGUUAGUCGGAGGUGAAAUCCCGGAGCUCAACUCCGGAACUGCCUCCGAGACGGCAGGGCUUGAGUGAAGGAGAGGAGAGCGGAAUUCCCAGUGUAGAGGUGAAAUUCGUAGAUAUUGGGAAGAACACCGGUGGCGAAGGCGGCUCUCUGGCCUUUUUCUGACGCUGAGGCACGAAAGCGUGGGGAGCAAACAG